CACAUGCAGUCGAACGAUGAACCUCACUUGUGGGGGGAUUAGUGGCGAACGGGUGAGUAACACGUGAGUAACCUGCCCUUGACUCUGGGAUAAGCCUGGGAAACCGGGUCUAAUACUGGAUACGACCUUCUGGCGCAUGCCAUGUUGGUGGAAAGCUUUUGUGGUUUUGGAUGGACUCGCGGCCUAUCAGCUUGUUGGUGGGGUAAUGGCCUACCAAGGCGACGACGGGUAGCCGGCCUGAGAGGGUGACCGGCCACACUGGGACUGAGACACGGCCCAGACUCCUACGGGAGGCAGCAGUGGGGAAUAUUGCACAAUGGGCGCAAGCCUGAUGCAGCGACGCCGCGUGAGGGAUGAAGGCCUUCGGGUUGUAAACCUCUUUCAGUAGGGAAGAAGCCGGCCUUUUGGGUUGGUGACGGUACCUGCAGAAGAAGCGCCGGCUAACUAC
rnacentral:rRNA from 1 species